rnacentral:rRNA from 1 species
GAUGAACGCUGGCGGCGUGCCUAAUACAUGCAAGUUGAGCGAUGAAACUUGGUGCUUGCACCAAUUUGAAGAGCAGCGGACGGGUGAGUAACACGUGGGUAAUCUACCUUUAAGCGUGGGACAACAUUUGGAAACCAAUGCUAAUACCGCAUAACAACUUUAAACAUAAGUUUUAAUUGUGAAAGAUGCAAUUGCAUCACUCAAAAAUUAUCCCCCGGUGUAUUAGCUAAGUGGUGAGGUAAAGGCUCACCAAAGCCAUGAUACAUAACCGAACUUGAAGGGUGAUUGGCCCACAUGGGAAUGAGACACCGCUCCAAAUCCUAAGGGAGGGAACAGUAGGGAAUUCUCGGCCAUGGAGGAAAGUCCUGACGGGGCAAGGCCGGUGAGUGGAGAAGGUUCUCGGAUCCUAAAAACCUGUUUGUAGAGAAGAAAGAUAGGGGGAGUUGAAAGCGCAUGAAGUGACGGUACCUAAUCAGAAAGCGACGGCUAACUACGUG